UCGCCCCCAAAUCCCACCCCUACCACCGGCUGCAGCACACACCACCUGCGCACAACUCAUCGCCGCCCCAACCAAACACCGGAACCCCGCCACCGGAUUCGGUCGCCACGGCCCCGGGCACGGCCAGCCGCACAAGAUCCGGCCGCCGCCACCGCUGCCAUGACGGCCUUCUGUGCAGGAGCACCUACGGCGUGAGGGCACACCGGGACCCGCCACGCCUUGCUCCAUCGCGCGGGAGACGCGAAGGAGUGGCUCCCCCUGAAUCUCCUGCCAACCGCCGCGGCCCAUUGGAGAUUGACGCAGCGGCAUGGCCGGGGUUGGAGGAGAUGGCGCAGAUCCAGUCACGCUGCCGAUAGGAGCCCCAGCGCAUCCCACGGCCAUGGUGGGAUCCCCACCGCGGGCAUGCCCCUUCCGACCGCCCUCCCUGAUGGCCGCCUCCCUAGUCCUUCUCCUCGUCCCCUCCGGUUCGGAAGCACUCCCUGCGUCGACAACAAAAAGGUGAAACGAUGAUUUUUCUUGUUCAGAUGCAGCUCACUUCGUCGACAUCGUCCGGCGUCACUGGAGCAGUCCACACAGCAGGCGCAAGCGGCCGUCGUCGACUCAUUAUGUCAUACACUUGCACGCGCCACCUCUUGCAUCUUCCAAAUUCGUUUGUAGGCGCCGACGUGCUGGUUCUAUUGCUGUUCAGAAAAGAUUUUUUUUUAGAUUUUGCUAGUGCACAACACUGCAGUUUGCUUGUGCUCACGGUGCGGUGCGGUUGGGAGACCAGUUACUAUUUUUCUGUUGAUUUCACAGAUUUUCCAAUACGUUUGUAAGAAAUGUUUAAAACAGUAGUUCAUUGUACAAAAAA